AGCAGGUUGGUGUGAAGGUGUGAAGGUGUGGACUCUGCUAUGAAUCAGGCUGAGGACCCAGAGGACGGAGUCCCUCCCUCUGAAGCCCCUCUGUGUGGGGAACAUGACAGCCAGACCAAAGCUCAGAGGGCCCUUCAGCAGUGUCCAGUGAGGGAGGGAGAGCUCCAUGGAGGACUUGGUGAGACCUUUUGGGACUAAACCAAACUGACUGGUGAAGAAAACAGUGAGCUGAAAGACUGAGCUGUUGAUUCUCAGUGGGACCAGCAGGACCAGUAGACCUAAACCACUACAGGGAGUCAUGUGGUCCACAUCCAGACCUCACGUCAUGGACCUUUACCUUGUUUUGGUCUCUGUGAGGACGGACACCAUGUGAGCUGAUGCUUUAUGAUUAGAUGAUGAUGUGAUGAUGUAAUCUCAGUGUUUCUUUCAGUUCACAUCAGCAGAGAGGAAAGUCUCCUGAACCCAGAUGUUUGUCCAUGAAGAGUGAUCGGUCUAAAGGUUGGCUGAUUGACUUCAAAGAUGGAUGCCGUUCUUAUGACCCAGA
ensembl:lncRNA